AGUUCUCAUGGGAACUCAGAAGAGCAAGAACUCAUUCAUUACUGCAAGGAUGACUCCAAGCCAUUCAUGAGGGACCAGAUUCCAUAACCCAAACACCGCCCACCAGGCCCCAUCUCCCACACUGGGGAUCACAUUUCAACAUGAGACUUGGAUGGGACAAACAUCCAAACUGUAUCAGACAUCAUCUCACGAAUCCACAAAUUUAGCUGCUUUCCCUUCUUUUCUGUAGUUUCACAACCUACUAUAGAAGCACUUUCUAGAGGGGCCUGCAGAAGUGAAUUUCCUCUUCCAUGGCCUCGAUGUAUUUGGCUGUUGAUUCAGUAUCACUGAACUUACUGCCAACAGCACUACAACUCACGCUGAAGGCACCUCAUCCAGCACAGGUAUUGUCUCCACAGGCACAUCGCAGCCUCCUGCACUCAGAGACAGUAGACAGCACUUCAGCACCGUGCCUGGGGACAUUUUAAACAGCAAAAUCACCAACAAAAGUACAAAAAUGCAAAAGCAUGGCUCUGGAUAGACAGCAGGAAGGACCACUUGUUUCUAGUGUGAGAGCUGGGACAAGAAAGCAGAGGGGUCACCUUGCUUCACCUCAGCCGGGAACAGAUGCCUUGGACUACUCAGAUUUUUUCCCUGCUCUGUACAAGUCUGUGAAUCACUGUGAAGCCACAAGUAUUGAUUUGGUUUACAAACACAUUUUAGUGAAGAGGUGAAUUUGCAGGUAUGGAAUCUAGAAAUAAUGAGAUCGGACUGUAAGGCUGGAGACGAAGAUGGAGAGGCUGCUGCCAAGUGACAGGCUGGCUCUUGUCCCAGAAGCUGUGGACUGCCACUGGAGUGUUUCAAGCAAGGGAGUGGCUUGAUCUGUGUUGUAGGAACAGCACCUUUUCUCAACUUAAAAGUGUGGCUUGAAGAGAGGAAGACGGGAGACUGGUUAGGAGAUGGAUGUAUCCAGGUGAGGAUGAGGGUGGGUGAACGGAGCCAGGGAUAGAGGUCCUCAGGGGAGCUGACCUGAGACCCCUGUGAGUCUCGGGUCCUGGCAAUGGGGCGGCGGUGAGUGGUGAGGGGGAGGCAUUGAGGACAGCGCCCGGGGUCCCCGGCUGGGGCACAUGCUGGGGUGUAGGGCAGUGGUCAAGGGCCCUAGCCUUGCAGUCAGACACCCCUGGCGGGCUGUGUGGCUUAGACAUGCUCCUCCACUUCCCUAAGCCUAGUUGUUUCAUGUCUAGCAUAAAGAUUCCGUGUGGCAGGAAGAACACACCCCCGGGAGUGAUUCUGAGAUUGAAAUGAGUGCUGGUGCUUUUCACCUAAACAAGGAAAACGGGGAGAGAAGCAGUAUGUGGGGUGGGAGGGAGAAGAGUCUGUCUGGGCGUGGGGAUUUGGACGUGCCUCUGGACACCCAUGGACAAAUAUCCUGAGGCCAUCUGAUGUUUUCCGGGGGCCACGGGAGUGGGGGAGGGGAAGGUGGGGCGGAGACACAGACUUGGGCAUUACCAGCAGGCAGGGGGCUGCUACCGCCAUGAAGAGUGGGCAGUGCCAGGAUCAGAGGGCCGGGGUAAAGCCUGCGGAAUUCCCACAUUUCAGAAGAGGCUGGGAAGGAGGUCAAGGAAGAGCAGCAGGAGGAGGAGAAAGCAGGAGGGUGUGGAGGGACGGGAGGCGGGGAGGAGGAAUUCCAGGAGGGAGUGGCCGGGGUGACUGUUCUGAAAGCAUGGACUGGAAGCCACAGCACAUUUGGGCUGCAAGGAACCCGAGAGAUCUUCUAGUCUAAUCCUCUUUCAGUCUCCAUCCCCGUCCGGAUGAAGACAGCGAGAUCCAAAAGUAAAGUCAGUUGUACUGUGACUUCCUAGCAGGAUACCCUAACUCCUAAUUCAUAAUAAAACUACAGACAUUCUCAAUUCAAAAUUCUUCCUAUUCAGUCACACUGGACUUUCUCCCAAUGUGACAAAAUUAUUGAGAUUUUAUUGACUUACUGAACAACUGUGGUCUUUGCCAUGUACUAAGAUACUGUGUAGUCAAACUGCGCCUCUGAAAUCUAUUUUUAUUGUACAUUUAACAAAUUUUGCUGUAAACAAUAAGUUUAAAAACAAUAGUCAUAACUCAUUAAACUGUAUCUUUUAAUUUUAAUAUGUUAUUAUACCUCAAUGAAACUCAGUUUUAAAAAACAGUGAAUAAAAAGUUGAGCUAUUAAAACUAAAAAGUAAUUAUUUGCUAGUUUGUAUACACAGACCCAAGAAAUAGAAAUAUAGGAAUAUUUGGAACUUGCUCCUUCUUACAGCCUUGAGGGAACCGCUUAUCCCUUAUUACGCCUUGGUUUCCCUCAAUGAAACUAGAAAAUAUUACCUUGCAAGACGCUCAUAGUUAAUUAAUACGUAUGAAGCUCUUGAAUCUAAAUAUUAAAUACUUGAUGAUAUUGUCUGGUAAAUAUUAUCUAACUGCAUUUAUAAAUACUAGCAUUUUUACAGCCUAGUGGUAAUUACAAAGUAUAGCCCAUUUAAAAUGAAUACAAAUAUGUGCAUAUAUAUUUUUCCUGUGAAAGUAGGAAAAGAAAGUUGAAAUUAUGCAAGAACAAAGUAGAAAAAUAUGCCUCUCAUAUAAGAUUGAGUGUUUCCAUUGAUCAAUAUAAUUUUUAAAAUGUUGUGAUGAUUCUUUUUUUCACUUAAUUGGCUAUGUCAUUUGCACUCUACCUAAGUGAGAUAUUAAUAAAUUGUAUAUGAUGUAAAUAACAGGAAACAAGAAGAACUGCUGGCCUUAUUCAUAGUUAAUAAAGAGAACCAGAUGAUGA
rnacentral:lncRNA from 1 species